rnacentral:rRNA from 1 species
AUUGAACGCUGUCGGCAGGCUUAACACAUGCAAGUCGAGCGAGAGGCGGACUGGUGAGUCAUGUCUGGGAAACUGCCUGAUGGAGGGGGAUAACUACUGGAAACGGUAGCUAAUACCGCAUACCAUCAGAUGUGCCCAGAUGGGAUUAUCUAGUCGGUGGGGUAACGGCUCAACUAGGCGACGAUCCCUAGCUGGUCUGAGAGGAUGACCAGCCACACUGGAACUGAGACACGGUCCAGACUCCGACGGGAGGCAGCAGUGGGGAAUAUGGCACAAUGGGCGCAAGCCUGAUGCAGCCAUGCCGCGUGUUGGAAGAAGGCCUUCGGGUUGUAAAGCACUUUCAGCGAGGAGGCGUUACUCGCAGAAGAAGCACCGGCUAACUCCGUGCCAGCAGCCGCGGUAAUAC